CUUGGCUUAUAUGCAAAACAACAGUCAGUCUUUUUCUCUCUCCUAUCGGCCCCGCGACAAAGCGCAACUUGACGAUAAUACACCGGUUUUCUGCCUUGAACCAUAGUGUUCCCGAUUUUUACAAUGUGCGCGUCCCAUUGCUCAUGUCUGAGCGUGGUGGAUAUCUCUCAUAAACCUGUGGUGCGCACGAUGAUUAUACACAGGUAUAUGGGACCUGCGGUUUAACGCCGAUUCCGAAGGGCAAAUUUUUAUUAGAGAGACGUACUAGAUAAAGUUACUCUCGAUGGUUUGACAUUGCUUUCCGAGAGGAGACGAGCGUAAAUAUUUUGGCUCUGUCGGAAAUUCGAACCCAGAACCUCUAGCAUAGUAGACCAGUGCGCUGUCUACUAUGCCACGUUCGUUUUAAAUACUAUUCUAUAAUAUACAAAAAUUAAGAAUGAAAUAAAAAUAGUAGUCUUA